UGCAUAUAUGUGGGAAGAGGGCACAAUGAUCGUUUUGGCAAAGUGAAUCCCGAAGAACCAAGGCGUCAUGGAAGAUAUUCGUCUAGAAAAUAUCGAGCAAAUAAGCAUAAAUAUAUAGUCUGCAAAACCACCCACUACAACAACUAUACGGCCUAAAACUGUGUUUCAAAUUGCAAAGCAAUGAAAGUUGUAACUAGAAUGGCAAGCAGAGGUCACUUGAUAUUUAAACCAUUUGCCAUUUCCAAGAUUACAGUUCUGCCAGCACAAGGUAUGGCACCAUCACGACGGAUUUGAGAUGUGGAAGGGAGGGAGAAACCCUGCUAAAAACUACAACUACUUCUAGGUCUUGAAAGAUCCCGUUGAAUCCCGAAAGUGCCGAGAAAGGGAAAGCGACGAAGGAGAUCGAAAGGCUCUUGCGCAACCAGCAUGUCUUGCAACUAUAUUUUUCAAAACUGGCCGAGUAUCGUACUGCAUGAAAAUAUCGCACGAGUAUCGUACAACAACCAACUUCUCAGGAGAGCUGCCGCUAAGCAUGCCGGUUACGCAAGAGCUUUUAUGGUACGAUUCCGAUACGAUGGCAUCGUGGCAGCGCAUAUAUAAAUAUAUUCACUGAGUUACCGCUGACACAAUGUUAGCAAUGUAAACUUUUGUAUUGACACAAAUAUAUCAAAAAAUAUAUUGCGACCUGAAUUUUGGGUUUUUUUGCAUUGCCAAAGCACUAAAAUCUGACCCCUAAAACAGACCAGAACAGUUAUAUUAUUUCUAAAAAAUUUUUACCCACUUGGGAACAGUCCACAGUUAUUCACAAAAUUGUGGACGAUCCAGAAAUGGCACGUACGCAUGUCACAAGGGACACGAAGAACAAUCUAAUGGUGUAAAAGCCGGAACAAUACUACAUGCCGCCUUGAAAGAAACAAGUUUUAUUGAAAUUACAUAACCAGCUUUUAUGACCACAAAACCAUUGUUCCGCUAAUAUUUGAUAGCACCUGAUUGUUUGAGCAACACAAUAAGCAUUAUUAUGUUGACGGCACUAUAGUUAGCCGUACCGAGAAAGGCUAAGCCAAGGACUGUAAUAAAUCUUUGGCUAUCGUAUGGUCGCGCUAGUUUGUUGCAGCGCGGCUGUUGAUAUCAUAUUGAAAGGCCAAGGUUUUGUCCGCUGGCGUUGGUGACGCAGUUAGGCAAAAUCAAUUGAAAGCCGGAAAGAAAGGGGUGGUGCAGUGAGGUAAUCGUUUUUACUGCAUAUAAGAGCUGUUGGCAACAUCGCCCGACGCCCAUAGAUAAAAUCAAAACAGUAAAGAUCGGAGAUUAUUUGAAGAGGCGUUUGCAGAGUCAUUUGCAGCUCUUGCAGAUUAUUGCAACAAAAUGAAAGACUGUGCAGCGGUAGUAUACAAGACACACAACCCAAAGCAGCUCUUUGUCGGCUGUUUUCCAGAUGCUGCAAAAUCAAAAGAUCUUAGAGAAUUCUUUAGCAAGUUUGGCAGCGUUACAGAUGCCAAGUUUCUGUUCAACAAAAGUGGCGAAGCAGUUCCCUUUGGGUUCCUUUGUAUGAUAGAAAAUGAAAGCACGGAGAGUGUGUUAGAGAGAAUUAAAACAGAGCUACAGGAAAUGCAAGUUAACAUUGGUCCCUAUGUGAACAGAACUAGAAAGGAUUCUAAUGGCAUGCUAGGAUUUUGAGAGCGUCAGUCCAAGAAGGUGUAGGAACAAGAAAAAAUAAGCAACCUACACUGGUGGAAAAAGUCUACAGCAUUUCUCGUAUCUCAAGAUGUUUUCGAGAGCAUCUCAGCGUCCGAAUUCUAAUAAUCUGCUCAAAUCGGGCUGGAGAACACACAAUGAACUAUCUGGAAUUGAUCGUUUGGAUAUGAUAAUAGUAUUGCCCGUUCCCCAUUAGAAAGAACUUUGAAUCAAAUCUAUGUCCACACCAACAUCAUUCCGCCGACAUUUCCAGCAACAACAACAUACUGUGCAAACAAGGGACAAAAAUGGCGUUUUUUGGGUUGAAUCUAGGGGUGCUGUGAGCCAGUUUGUGUAAAGGGGUAAAAUUUAAGAUGUACUAGAAGCGUAUUUCCCUACAAAGGCAUAAACUCCGCUCUCAAUACCCUUGGUUAACUUUCGAAUGUCGCUUCCUUAUGCCAGCCUUGUGGGGACAUACAAUCUUAGGAGUUUACUGUUACAGUUGCGGUGUCGUAGAAGUAUUUUUAUCGACAUUGAGGUUAGGUGAGCUACGGAUCAUAAUCUUAUUCAACUCACUGCAUUCCCACUUUAAGUUAUGUAGCAAAAGGCUUCUGCCACAUGAGAUAGCGCCCGGUAGCGUGAAAUAAUUUGCUAGACAUCAAGGAACUUUUAUAAGAAACAAAUCUUCUAAUUUUGGAAAAGUGAAGAAGUUAAUCGCCUCUAAUCGUUGUUAGCCACAAGUGAAUCAAGUUUAUGUUAACUUACUUAACACAAAAUCUAUGAAAAACCUUCAAGGACGUGCUUAUUACAGUCUAAAAGGUUAAUAUUUAAGCUUUGGCAAUUUAAGAAUACAAAACCAAUCACGAGUUUUGUCGAAGGGCGUACACAACCCGAAGAAGACAGUAAAAUGAGAGGCUGCUUCAUGAUGGCACCUUUUCAGGUAAAUCGUUCGACAUGUUCCCAUCCGAGGAACACAAAAGUGACGAGUACUCAGAUUUGCCUAAGUAAAAGGUUCAGGGUAUCAUUACUGUCUUUGGAUUCCAUCAUAGGGUUAGGGGUUUAUAUAUUUCAAGUGACAGUGACGUCAUGGCAAUAUCUUGCAGCUAAAUUACGUUUGUGUCUCUUGAUAGCUUCAGUAAUAUGUUUGGCACGCAAACCCCCUCUACACUUAAUUAUAUAAUUCUAUAGGUUAAUAUUUAUAAUGCACAACCGUGUUGGCAUCGUUGAUCAGAUGCUGAGGUUUAAAUAACACUCUUCUCGUUCAAUAACACCCAUUCUAAUCAUUCGUUGAUCAUUAUUUGACCCGCUCAAAGCAUACUUUCAAAACUCUAGAUGUAUAUAAAUUGUUUUAGGUUAUAUGCGGUGAAUGUAUAGUAAAAAUCGAAGUGUUUAUAAAUGAUUUUUUUCCAUUGUAAAUAAAUAGAGCCUUGUCAAAGGAUUUUCAAUGAAAACAAUUUGUUUAAUCUGAAA